UACGUAGGGUCCAAGCGUUAAUCGGAAUUACUGGGCGUAAAGCGUGCGCAGGCGGUUCGUUAAGUCAGCUGUGAAAGCCCCGGGCUCAACCUGGGAAUUGCGGUUGAAACUGGCGAACUAGAAUCUGGCAGAGGGGGGUGGAAUUCCACGUGUAGCAGCGAAAUGCGUAGAGAUGUGGAGGAACACCGAUGGCGAAGGCAGCCCCCUGGGCUGAGAUUGACGCUCAGGCACGAAAGCGUGGGGAGCAAACAGG
rnacentral:rRNA from 1 species